rnacentral:snRNA from 2 species
GAGCGUGUGUCAGGAGACACGUCUGACAUUGAUCGCUAUGAUCUUAUACGGCUUGAUCUGUCUAGAUUGGUUGUUUCCACCACACCAUUCCGAUAGUUGAGCUCCCGCUGCACCCCCGGGGACGCACGGUCGAGCUCUGUUCAAAAUUGCUGGUCGUAGAGUUUGCAUGGCUCGGCGGCCAAUGGGGUUAUUUCUGUUAGGGCUUCUCUCUAUUUCCGCGUAACGGGGAAGUUCGUUUUCAGAAACCAUUUGAAUUUAUGUCGCUCCAUUGGAGGCAUUACACGUGGUAAUCUGCCUUUCUUU